rnacentral:rRNA from 1 species
GACGAACGCUGGCGGCGUGCUUAACACAUGCAAGUCGAACGAAGUGGCGAACGGGUGAGUAACGCGUAAUCCACCUGCCCUUCAGAGGGGGCCAAUAGUUUGAAACUACUGCUAAUACCGCUUAAGGAAGGAGGGGAUUGCGUCUGCUGAGCUAGUUGGAGGGGUAACGGCCCACCAAGGCGAUGAUCAGUAAGCUGUCUGCAGGGAUGAACGGCGACAUUGGGACUGGGACACAGCCCAGAGGGCUACGGGUGGCAGCAGUGGGGGAACUUCCGUGAUGGACGAAAGUCUGGCGGAGCAACGGCGGGGGCGUGAUGACGGCCUUCGGGUUGUAAAGCUAUGUUAAUCGGGACGCGGUAGCGGAAUAGAAAGCCACGGCUAACGACGUGCCAGCAGCCGCGGUAAUUC